rnacentral:tRNA from 2 species
GCGCCCGUGGCGAAAUUGGCAGACGCGCUGGAUUUAGGUUCCAGUGUCUUAGUGACGUGGGAGUUCAAGUCUCCCCGGGCGCA